rnacentral:lncRNA from 1 species
CAAAGUCAAAGAAGAUUUGGAUAUGGCUCGAAGGUGUUACUAGAAUUCAUUGAUAUCAUCUGGGGUCAGGGUCAAUAAGCAGAGGCAAGCAAUAGCAAUCAAGGUGGAAUCGUUUACCGAAGGAAGUAUAGAACCCUUCGCCUUACCGACCAAAGAGACAGAGGAGAUUGAGUUGGUCCCAGGGAAGAAGGAUAAGACUAUAAAGAUAGGUUCGGGG